UACGAAGGGGGCUAGCGUUGCUCGGAAUUACUGGGCGUAAAGCGCACGUAGGCGGCUUCUUAAGUCGGUGGUGAAAUCCUGGAGCUCAACUCCAGAACUGCCUUCGAUACUGGGAAGCUCGAGUCCGGGAGAGGUGAGUGGAACUGCGAGUGUAGAGGUGAAAUUCGUAGAUAUUCGCAAGAACACCAGUGGCGAAGGCGGCGCACUGGCCCGGUACUGACGCUGAGGUGCGAAAGCGUGGGGAGCAAACAGG
rnacentral:rRNA from 1 species